rnacentral:rRNA from 1 species
GACGAACGCUGGCGGCGUGCUUAACACAUGCAAGUCGAACGGUGAAGCGCUUUCCUUUUUGGUUGGUGUGGAUGAGUGGCGAACGGGUGAGUAACACGUGAGUAACCUGCCCCCUUCUUCUGGAUAACCGCAUGAAAGUGUGGCUAAUACGGGAUAUUCUGCGCCUGCUGCAUGGUGGGUGAGGGAAAGAUUGUGCCUUUGGGUGUUUUCGGUGGGGGAUGGGCUCGCGGCCUAUCAGCUUGUUGGUGGGGUGAUGGCCUACCAAGGCGGUGACGGGUAGCCGGCCGGAGAGGGUGGACGGUCACACUGGGACUGAGACACGGCCCAGACUCCUACGGGAGGCAGCAGUGGGGAAUAUUGCACAAUGGGCGCAAGCCUGAUGCAGCGACGCCGCGUGAGGGAUGGAGGCCUUCGGGUUGUGAACCUCUUUCGCCAGUGAAGCAGGCCUGCUCCUUGUGGGUGGGUUGACGGUAGCUGGAUAAGAAGCGCCGGCUAACUACGUG